rfam:Toxocara canis scaffold1237, whole genome shotgun sequence.
CGUGCAGUAGCUCAGUGAUAGAGCUCUCGUUUCAUAUGCGGGAAGACCUGGGUUCUAUUACCGGCUGCUUAA